CCUACGGGAGGCAGCAGUGGGGAAUAUUGGGCAAUGGAGGCAACUCUGACCCAGCAAUGCCGCGUGAGUGAUGAAGGUAAUUGUAUUGUAAAGCUCUUUUCUUUGGAACGAAUAAAUGACGGUACCAAAGGAAUAAGCCACGGCUAACUACGUGCCAGCAGCCGCGGUAAUACGUAGGGGGCAAGCGUUGUUCGGAAUGACUGGGCGUAAAGGGGGUGUAGGUGGUUAGUUAAGUUAGAUGUGGAAUACCCAGGGCUUAACCCGUGUGCUGCAUUUAAAACUGUUAUACUUGAGUACUGGAGAGGAUAGCGGAAUUCCGUGUGUAGCGGUGGAAUGCGUAGAUAUUAGGAGGAACAUCAGUGGCGAAGGCGACUAUCUGGACAGCAACUGACACUGAGGCACGAAAGCGUGGGGAGCAAACAGGAUUAGAUACCCAUGUAGUC
rnacentral:rRNA from 1 species